AGGUUCAGGGCCAAGCAAGGUGCCACCUCAAGGGGUGGAGAAUUGGGAAGCCGGUGAGAGACCGGCACUGCCCCCGCAACGGUAACAUCGGGUAAGGGCGCAGCAUUGCCACUGGGGUGAGGACCCUCGGGAAGGCGCUGCAUCCGGUCAUUGACCUCCCUUUGAAAGUCCGGAAACCAGCCUUGCCUCUAUGUCAAAC
rnacentral:ncRNA from 2 species